AACAGGAAAUCAAUGACUUAAAUAUGAAUAAACCAGAAUAAUCCAGCUGGUUAUAGUAGAAAACAUGGCUGUUUGAGUCUGGAAACAGGAGAUCCUCAGCUUUAGUCAGACUGUUUGGGAUGUAGGUGGAGCAGAUCACAGUUUCAGCAUGUGGAGGUUGCAUUUUAAUCAACAAAAUAAGCAACGUUUUCAAUUCAAACAUCUUGCUGCUAAAUUAUUGAUUAAAUAGAUAUGAACACAGCAACAAAUUUUAAUCUGUUCUCCAGCCAUCAGAUUGGUGAAAAAGUGUUGGCAUUUGGUCCAAUGUAAAUAAGUUCAUAGUUAGCAAAUUGUAUGACUACAUUUAUGCUAAGAAUGGAUAAAGUUUAGAUUUGAAAUUUAAUAAUAGUGUGACAUCUGUGUUACUGUCUGUUGUAUUUGCAACAAAAAAAAAGACAGAGUGAGAGCUCUUAGCAGCAAACUAGCUUUGGUGUAAACUUCUCUGGUAACCAUGGGAACCAAGAAUUUAGGCCGAGAAAAUAAACGGCUCCAAAUGGAUUUUACGCUUCAUACGUGGGAAGAUAUUCUUCAUUGAUCUCUGCAGCCGCCGUCUCAGCUGACACGUCGGAGCAGAUUCUCUGCCUGGAAACAUCGGAAACUGAUCGGAACCGCCGUCAAACAGAGACACGGACCUCCCCGGAUCCCCAGGCACCGAUUAGAUCUGAAAAUUGACGAUGGGAGGAGGUCAGAGUCAUGAGAAGGAGGAUGAGGAGCGAAGAGGAGGAGCUGAAGAACAUAAGAAGCCUGAGGAUGCUGAAUCUGCUGAAGAGUCGUCAGGUGAGCUGCCCCAGUGCAGGAUCGGAAACAGGCUGGUGGACAACAUGUGCUUCAUGAUCUCGUGCACUAACUGGUAUUGAACUGGUGCAGACUGGGACUACUGGAGGAAGAUGGGUGAAACAUUCCAGAAGCAAACCUUCAGGAAGUUUGGUCUUUAGUUCCCAGGUUUAAUCAUAAAUCUGCUGAAAAACCA